rnacentral:rRNA from 1 species
AACGUAGGAGACAAACGUUAUCCGAAGUUACUGGGCGUAAAGGGCGUGUAGGCGGUUUGUUAAGUCUGGCGUGAAAGCUCUCGGCUAAACCGGGAGAGGUCGUUGGAUACUGGCAAACUAGAGGACGGUAGAGGCGUGUGGAAUUCCGGGUGUAGUGGUGAAAUGCGUAGAGAUCCGGAGGAACACCAGUGGCGAAGGCGACACGCUGGGCCGUACCUGACGCUAAAGCGCGACAGCAUGGGGAGCGAACGGG